UGGGGGAUAUUGCACAAUGGGCGAAAGCCUGAUGCAGCGACGCCGCGUGGGGGAUGAAGGCUUUCGUGUUGUAAACCUCUUUCGCUAUCGAACAAGGCCCGCUUAGGGUUGGUUGAGGGUAGGUGGAGAAGAAGCGCCGGCUAACUACGUGCCAGCAGCCGCGGUAAUACGUAGGGCGCGAGCGUUGUCCGGAAUUAUUGGGCGUAAAGGGCUUGUAGGCGGCUUGUUGCGCCUGCUGUGAAAACGCGGGGCUUAACUUCGCGCGUGCAGUGGGUACGGGCAGGCGUGAGUGUGGUAGGGGUGACUGGAAUUCCAGGUGGAGCGGUGGAAUGCGGAGAUAUCUGGAGGAACACCGAUGGCGAAGGCAGGUCACUGGGCCAUUACUGACGCUGAGGAGCGAAAGCAUGGGUAGCGAACAGG
rnacentral:rRNA from 1 species